rnacentral:lncRNA from 1 species
CGUUUUUUGUUCCUUCAUUUUAUCUCUAUAUCUUAUAUAAAUAUAAUUCUCAAGUUUUGUAUUUUAUCACAAUACACAUAAAAUAAGUCUGCUGUAGUAUACAGAUUGUGUCAUCACUACUUACGUCACAAAUACCGUAUAAUCGAAAAAAAAAUCGCCAUCGCUGACGCCGUUUUUUUUCGAUCAUAUAGUAUACCGGGUGUUGCAUCGUCGGACGGGACAACCCUAGUUUAAGCAUCCGUUUAUUGUUGUAGAUUGUAGAUUGUAUGGGAGAAACCUCCUAAACAUUUUACAUUCUACGAUGUCAUGUAUCGAAAUUACCAUAUACAAACUAAAAUAUUAUGGGAAACUGAAAUUGAGAUCUUUGAAAGGACCUUUUUACCGCAACCAGUUAUACACAAAUUUAUUAGUUUUGUGACGAACCACCGGUCGCGCUUAAGGCGAAAAUAUUUAAGCAGUUCAAAUCAAAUCAAGUCAGUUCUAAUCAAAUAAUAUGUACCGUCAAAAAUCGAAAAAAGUUUUAGUGGAAUUUUAGUGAUUAUUUAAACUUUUUAUUAAAAACAAUGAUGGAAUCAGGCCGUAAACCCUUUCAUAAUUAUGUUGUUCCGAUGCCGGAUUUGUUUUCCAAAAGACAUACAUUCUCGAAGAACGAUCCUACAUUAUUUCAAAAGUGAUAUCAAGUGCGAAACCUUAAAAUGGAAAAUACAACACAGCAAGAUAUUUAAAAGAUUUAUAGAGUUUGUGAUUUACAUUUUUGUAAUCAAGAUCGUACCUGGAAUAAAAAGAGGUUUAGAAGUUAAUUCUAAAGUUUUUGUAUACACCAGUUCAUAUGGAUGAUCAACCUACUGGUAAUUUGGUGUCCAGUGAUGUCGAUCCAGGUACAAACCCUGUAUUUAAAGACAAACAUUUGUUGUACAACUUGUUGAUGGACCACUCUCUCGUUGGUAUUAGACACGUACUGAGAUAAAAGCAGUAACUGAAAAGGAGAAAGGAUCAGAUAACCCAAAUCAGGAAUCUUCCAGAGUGCAGAUGAUGCAGUUUUUGUGAGUGAGGUAUAAUAUCUGUCUCUUGUAAGACCUCUUUUAAGAAUUUAACCCAGGCAGUUGUUUACAACCAAGUUAGAUCUCAAGCAUAACAAAGGAAUCGUAGAACCUGUGAAUUCAGUUUAAUUACUGAGAUCAAGGAUGAUGAAACAUUCAUUAUGAUUAUACAGAGCUACAAAGAGUUAUGUUGAGAAUCCAAAUUAUCAUAAUGAAUUGAGACGAGACAACACCUGGGUGGAAAUUGACGAAAAAUGUAGAUAAAAGGCAUUUUUAUAUUAACGCUAUGAAUCCAAUGUUUUUAUCAAAUCGUCACAUAGAUAAUAUUUCUCUACGCAUAAUACUAAAAUUAAAAAGGUCAGGUUAAAACAACUUUAAUUAUCCAUCGCGUGCGAAAAACAGUGCUUCGCAUGGCUUCGGCUUCGGCGCGCUUCGCUCAAGUGCUCAUCAUGCUUUAAACUUUUGCGAAGCGCCAAAAUGUCAUUGGAUUAAUUGCAUGUAUUUUGAUUCUUCGCGUUACUUCGCUUGGUCUGCAUUUUUAUACAUAGAUACCAUUGAUCCAAUUCACAUUUUUUCGCCGCGCUUCGAAUAAGUUCGCGACAAAACUUUGUUAGUUGUAUUUUAUAUUAUUUAAUGCUAUUGUAUUGAUUUAUAAUUAUUAUUGUAUUUAUAUGAACAAGUUAAGUAUAGCAAUGCCGUGCGAGCCUUCGUCUGAAGAAGAAAUUUAAUUUAUUGUAUAAUUUGUAUUAUUUACUUUUUUUAAUAAAGCUAUUA